rnacentral:tRNA from 1 species
GGGGGUACAGCUCAGUGGUAGAGCACAUGCUUAACAUGCACAAGGUCCUAGGUUCAAUACCCACUACUUCCA